rnacentral:tRNA from 1 species
GCAUAGCUCAGUUGGUAGAGCACCUGACUGUUAAUCAGGCUGUCGACGGUUCGAGUCCGCCUGCCGGA